rnacentral:rRNA from 1 species
UACGUAGGGUGCGAGCGUUGUCCGGAAUUAUUGGGCGUAAAGAGCUUGUAGGCGGUUUGUCGCGUCUGCCGUGAAAUUCCGGGGCUCAACCCCGGACUUGCGGUGGGUACGGGCAGACUAGAGUGUGGUAGAGGAGACUGGAAUUCCUGGUGUAGCGGUGAAAUGCGCAGAUAUCAGGAGGAACACCGAUGGCGAAGGCAGGUCUCUGGGCCACUACUGACGCUGUGAAGCGAAAGCGUGGGGAGCGAACAGG